rnacentral:lncRNA from 10 species
AGAUGAACUGGGGGCUCACAUAGGAAAUGACUAGCCUAAGAUGGCAGAGCAAGAACUGGAUCCUGGAUUGGAAUGCAUUGAGCAUGUGGCUCUAUCCUGAGGGUGGAGGUCUAGGGGGCCGGGAGAACUUGACAAUGGAUUUAGUCCACCUGGAAUCAGUGUUCUGCUGCCUCCUCGGGGACCAGAGCUGCUCUCCUCCUCAUGUGUC